rnacentral:rRNA from 1 species
UACGGAGGAUCCAAGCGUUAUCCGGAAUCAUUGGGUUUAAAGGGUCCGUAGGCGGUUUAAUAGGUCAGUGGUGAAAGCCCAUCGCUCAACGGUGGAACGGCCAUUGAUACUGUUAAACUUGAAUUAUUAGGAAGUAACUAGAAUAUGUAGUGUAGCGGUGAAAUGCUUAGAGAUUACAUGGAAUACCAAUUGCGAAGGCAGGUUACUACUAAUGGAUUGACGCUGAUGGACGAAAGCGUGGGUAGCGAACAGG